AAAUAUAUUACUUUCACUUUGGUAAAGCAAGAUCUACUUUUUUUUUUAUUAUUUAUUUGUAGUGUGUAUAAGUUGAUUAAUAAUCACUCUGAAGUUGGAAAAAUGGCGCUCAACUACUUUGUGUGAAAUCCCUCUCUCUCUGUACUGUUUUCGUUUUCAUCAGAUUCCACCAAAGUUGCUCAAUUUACACUAUCACAUUCUCUGAAUCUCUCUUUCUCUCUGUGUGUUUGUGAAGUUUAUUUCUCUGAAACGGGAGGUGUGGCCAUGGUGAGGCCGACUAGGGAUGCAAUCGAGACCUACAUGUCCCUCACCGGAGCGUCGGAGUCACUCGCGCUUCAGAAACUCGAGGAACAUGGAGGAAAUCUGAAUGAAGCUGUGGAGGCACACUUUAACGAUGGAAUUACAGGCAUGAAUGACGGUGGAACUUUGCAACAAAACACAUACAUAACGAAUCCUUUACCAGCUGCCUUCCCACAACAAAAUUAUACUGAUAGGAAUAAUGAGCCUCAAGUUAGAGGUGGAUUUUUUCCAUUUCUCUCUGCUGCUAGAAGCUUCAGGCCUUCUUUAUUACUUGAUCCUAAUUACAGAAGGGAUCUUUGUAAUCGUAUUGGUGCUGGUGGAUUUACUAGUCGUGAGCCACUAGUUACACAGCCAGCGCCAGCGCCAGUGCCAGUGCCAGUGCCAGUGCCAGUGCCAGUGCCAGUGCCAGUGCCUUUCACUAGUAUUCCUGGGGACUUCUAUAGUAGGCAUGAUCAGAUUCAGCAUUCAGGACUCAGUCCUAACCUUGGCAAUGAUCAUAUGCCAACAGAAUAUAACACCUCACAAGUGGACAACCAUGUGGAGGAUGAAAUGCUUGAAGCUGCAAUUCAGGCAUCAAAGCAAGAAUUUGAAAAAAAUUCCUCUGCGGAUGAGGACAUUGCUCGAGCCCUCUCAUUGUCUUUGGAGACAGCUGAGCAAGAGCAAGCAGUGCGUGAGGGGCAAAUGAAAGAUUACGAUCAAGAGCUUGGAACUCAUAGAUGGAAGGUAGGAAGCUCAUCAAACCAAAAUUUAGCUAAGAAUGCAGAAGAAGAGCAACUAAUUAGGAGAAAAUCUAACAGCAGUGCUAGUAAUCUUCCUCCGCACAGUGAUGGUGCUUUUCACUUUGCAGAGUGGGGCGACAUUUCUUCCAAAGAGAUUGAUGAAGCACUAAUGCUUGAGAGUGCGAUUUAUGGUGGAAUUUCUGAAGGGGCUUCAAAACAGUCAUUGGAUGCACCUCAAGUGCAAAGUCAUCCAGAAAGAAAUGUGAUUCCCAAUCUUCCUGUACACAGCCCUAUAUCACCUUCUCUCUCAGCAAGCCGAUUACUUAAAGAGCAACAGGACAUGGAAUAUCAUGCAUCAUUGUUACUUGACAAAGAGAAAGAAGAAGAAUCCCAUAAGAAAAUUCACAGUGAAGUGGAACAUGAGAGAAAUUUAGCUACUAAGAGUAAGAAAGCUUCUCUUCUGUCUGAACCAGCAUUAGAAGAUGAGAAUGCAGUGACUCUUCUUGUUCGAAUGCCAAAUGGAAGUCGCCUCGGUCGACGUUUUCUCAAGUCCAACAAGCUUCAGCUUCUAUUUGACUUCAUAGACAUUGAUGGGGAAAUGAAGCCUGGAACAUACAGAGUGGUAAGGUCAUACCCGAGGCGUGCUUUCAAUGUAGAUGACAGCUCACUAACUUUGAGUGAAGUAGGCCUGACAAACAAACAAGAAGCUUUGUUUCUUGAGUUGGUUUAGCCCCAUACAACUUCUUCUAUAAAGACUUCUGCCUGAGCAUGUUGUUCUACAGAAAUUUGUAGGCUAAUACAACACUUAAAAAUUGACAUGGUUGGUCUUUUAAAACCUGAAUAUAAUUUCCCAAAAGAUUGUCUGUUUGAUUUAAUGGUGAUGUAUAUAUUUUCGGUUCAUGUUAAAUGGAACAUCAUCAUCAUCAUACCUUGUCUUGAAAUAUGUUAAAACCAGGUAACCAUUAUUUCUUCA